GAGAGAGAAUGCUAAUGAGCUGUGAAAUGACCAAAGAUCUGGCAGCAGAAGGGAAAAGAAAAAAUAAUGGGAACAAGAGGAUUUAUCUGACUCAACUGGAGAUGGCUCCCUUCCCUAAUUUAUUGUUGCAUCCUGAAGCUUCCCCCAUGCUGGGCUCAGUGUGAACAAACAGCGCGGGAGAAUGCAACCACUGCAGAGGUACAAGUUCACAGAGGCAGAGCCGCCCCUCGACUGGGCCAGAGGCAAAGACAAACCCCAACCUCUUUCUUGUCAUUCAUUGAAUUUUGCUGAACCUGGAAAGGAAAUAAAUUCCAAAGGCAGGAAGUGACCCAGAGACCAUAACAAUAUGUGAAAAGCUUAGCCGGUGUUUCCGCCCCUUUGUUUCAAACUAUUCUAAUCUGUGUCCCAGGAAGCCUAGCCCAUGGCCAGAUGGAGAUCUGUUUUCAGAUGCCUCCUGGCAUCUGCCACUCCCGGCUGGUGACAUUUGCACAUUUCAGAAGGCAAACCUGUCCCAACAUCUUCAAACUUCCAGAGAGGUGUAGCACCAGGAAAGUCCUUGGGUCUCCGGCUGACAGCACCAACCAGCUGAUUUGCUUCAUCUGCAGCUGAACUGCUGCUGGACUCCAGCCUAGAACACUAGUGCACACCGGGUUUGUUCUUGAAGAUUUGCAGAUUCUGAAAUCAAAAUGCCCUGUGUUGCCAGAAAAGGCUGGCUCCCUUGCCUGCUUCAUAAUCCCUUCUCACCAGGCUUUCCUAAAGAAACUCAAUGAGUCAGGAAGGAAGAAAACAUGUCUGAGGGAGAUCUGGAGGCAUAUGUUUGAGAUGCCUGGCCACUGGAGGUCAUCUCGUCUACUAUGUUCACCACAGAUAAAGAAUGAAAAGAGAAUAUACAACCUUGUGAUUGCUAGCAGUGAAAGCUCAGAGUUAUGACAUAACAGAAUUAAAUUGAGUUCAAGCAGCUUGGAACAGCUUGAUGGCUUCUUUCUGCCACAGAAGGUGCCAGGUGUCCUGCAUCUAGACUCUGACAGCCUAUUGAAGAGGGGCUUGAGCAGAGAGAAUGCUUAGAGGCUAAGCGAUGGGCAAGUGAGAGGGAAAGAGCCGCGACAGACAGAGCUGGCUGCCUAGGGGUCUCAGAGGCUUCAUCCUGCAGGCGGCAGGCGGCAGGACAAAGGGACCUUCGCACUCGAGAUCAAGAUUCCAAGGAGUUAAACGCUACCACGCAGCCCGACCUGGAUGGGAUUUGCUCCUGGGUACAAAACGGGACACUGAUCAAAAUCAACUUGGACAAGUGACAAGAGUGAGUCUUAUGUCGGUGGAUGUCUUUUAAGGUCGUUGGAGGGAAGAGGACGGGAGGGGUGUGCCGAGGGGUAGGUGGAGAGAGGCACCGAGUCCAGAGCCGGGAUAUAAAUGCACCAGGAGCCGGGGAGCAGAGGAGCAAAUGAGUGGGGGAAAGAGUGAGAGGAAGAGUUGGAGAAAAGUCGGGGGAAAGUAGGGACAGGGUUAAGGGGAGAGAGGAGGAUGAGGGCGGCGAGGAGAGAUUAAAAGGGGAAGGGGGGUCGCUGGAGAGGAGGGCGGACUGUGGAUCGGAGGUAGGG
rnacentral:lncRNA from 1 species